AAAGUCGUAACAAGGUCUCCGUUGGUGAACCAGCGGAGGGAUCAUUACCGAGUUAUACAACUCCCAAACCCGUGCGAACCUUACCAAAACGUUGCUUCGGCGGUACCGCCCCGGCGCCCUCGGGCCCGGACCCAGGCGCCCGCCGGAGGCCAGCAAAACCUUCUGUUAUUCGCCCCUGGGGGCUAUCUCUGAGUGGCGCAAGCAAAACAAAUAAAUCAAAACUUUCAACAACGGAUCUCUUGGCUCUG
rnacentral:misc_RNA from 1 species